UUUUUUAAUUAAUUAUUAAGUAAAAUAUAUUCUAUAAUUUUCAAGUUUUUGAAAUAAGUACGAGAUAAAUUAAUUAAAGAUAAUAUUAAGGAAGAGAUUAUUAAUACAGUAACAUUUAUUUAAAAAAACAACAAUACUUGGAUUUUGAUCCCAAUCUUUAAAAUUAUAUAAAGUAAAACAAAAAUAAAAGUUAAAAAAAAUAAAUUGGCUCCGGAGAGAUUAACCGGAUAUUUUUCUUGCCUGAAAAUAUAUAUAUAUUACCGCCACUCCUCCACCGCCGCCACUCGCCACCCUUUCUCCUUCUUUCUUUGCUCCUUCGUAAAACCCUAAUAAAGCAAAAAAAAAAAAAAACCAAUUUCAUCAUCACUUCAACCUCCAAAAACAAAUACACAUUACCAAACAAAAAUAUCCGGUCCGAAACAAUCAAUUUCAUCAUCCCAUUUUGCUUAUUCUCUUCUUUACAACACAAAUUGCUCAACAUUAACAAGAUGAAAAAAAUGCAUGAAAGGGCCAUUGGCGUGGCAGAUCAAGUCUAUGUGAGUACUGAAAUCUCUUCCAGAACGACCCUUGUUUCUGCGAUGCAAACAACUCCAACUACAAGAACAACACCAUGAUUCGCAAAGAGAACUUCGUCACCCUUGUCGUCAGAAAUUAAGAACUUGGUGCCAGCGGAAUUAAGACCUUCUCUCCUAUAGCGAUUUGGAUUGAAUUGGAAUUGGAGGAGAUGGUUGAAACAACUUGGUAAGUUCUUGAAGAUUCAGCUGCUUGGGUGUCGAAGAAACCAACUUCUUGUCUAAGGAUAGCUUUCAGGUAUUCCAUUCUCAUUCGAGAAGUUUGUCUUUCGGCAGUUCUUGCCCAACAAAGUCCUUCUGCAUAAAUAAAUGCCAGCAAAAUUUCAACAUAGAAUAUAGUGAACUUCUAGUAAUGAAGGUAUAGUCUUUAUUUCUCAUCGAGUAUUGGAAACGAUAAAUUAGAGGGUUAAGUGCGGAAACCCCCAUCUGCUAUGCUUACUGUGUGUAUCACACCCCUCAUGUGCACAAAACACCCCUGAAGUAUGCAAUAGUGCAAAUAAACUCUACCUGACACAUUUAAGGUAGAUUUUACCCAAAUUACUGAGACAUUUUACAUACUAUCUAAAAAUACAUAAUUUUGUGAAAUGACGAAAAGUGACACAAGUUAAAUUGACAUUGUUUGGACUCAAAUGCACAGAUCAUUCAACCCUAACUUCUUAUUGUCUAAGGUGCAGGAACAUCAUCAACAAAUGAGUCAUAAGCUUUAAGUGUCGUGAGGAGUAGGAAGAUGCAUGGAGAGAUUUGGGGGAGUUCUUGAUUAGGAAAGAGAAUUGGAUUUUGGAGGGGAGAGAGGAGGUGACAAAGGACUAGCGCAUGAAGGGGCGAACAGGGUUUUGCGGCAGCAGGAGAACCAGCCGAUGAGGGGCGGUCGGUUGGAGGAGACGAGGCGUCAGAGAGAGAAAUAAAUGACGUUGAGUUGGCCAGUGGAGUCAUAGAAGGUGGAGUUGGAUGUCAAGCAGGAGGAAGAGGUGAUUGGGGUGACAAGGGUGGUGGAGUCGGAGGAUGUGGUGGUGGCGCCUGCAUCGGCUGUGGGGUCAUCGGAGAGGGAUGAUGGUGUGAUGUAGGUAACGUGGCGGAAGAGGACGCCUUCCACGUCACCUAGAGAGGAAGAGAACCAUUGGAUGUUGGAGGCUAAUGUGGGGCCCGAUAUUUGUGUUAACCAUUGUUGACAUUAUUAUACUGUUUACAGACCAAAUCACAUAAUUUGUAGUUUUUACUUGUAUGAAUUAUACUUCCUGCUCAACUAGGCUCAAGGAUUAUAGUAAUUAUAAUUAACCAAAGUUUUAUCGUCGAACUUGUGUGGUUUGAUGAGGAGCUAAAAUCAGUUUUGAUGACUUCAGUUCGUUGACUUCGGAAGCUGACAGCUGGCCUGAUUAAUGCUGCUACUUUGAUAGAUUUUCUAGUCCCAAACCACCACCAUCACCGUCCUGCUCAAUUUAUACCAGAGGAUGUAAAUACAUUAACAUUUUUGUAAUGUUACAUCUAUAAAUAUGAAUGAUCUGCAUUAACAAUGAAGUUUGUAGGGACUGUUGAAGGAAGAUGGGGAUCUCAGCAACCUAACCUAACUUUUGCUUGUGAGUCACUUGCAUGACUUGACAUGUUGUGAACAAUAGUUUAAUUCUGGUUGUAAGCAAUGGUUUGUUAUUUGGUGAAAUUUGUACCUUUUAGUUAUGAAGUGAAA